rnacentral:rRNA from 1 species
GAUGAACGCUGGCGGCGUGCUUAACACAUGCAAGUCGAACGUGAGGGGGUAGCAAUAUCCUUGAAAGUGGCGCACGGGUGAGUAAUACGUAGGUAACCUGCCCUGGAGUGGGGGAUAACAACUGGAAACGGUUGCUAAUACCGCAUGAAGCCAAGACACUGGGAAGUGACUUGGUAAAAACUCUGGUGCUUCAGGAGGGGCCUGCGGCCGAUUAGCUAGUUGGCGGGGUAAGAGCCCACCAAGGCAGUGAUCGGUAGCUGGUCUGAGAGGACGAUCAGCCACACGGGAACUGAGACACGGUCCCGACUCCUACGGGGGGCCGCAGUGAGGAAUAUUGGGCAAUGGGCGGAAGCCUGACCCAGCAACGCCGCGUGGAGGAAGACGGCCUUCGGGUUGUAAACUCCUUUUACGGGGGAAGAGGAAGGACGGUACCCCGAGAAUAAGUCACGGCUAACUACGUGCCAGCAGCCGCAGUAAUAC